rnacentral:piRNA from 1 species
CAGCUGAAAACGACAAGUAAACAAUACUGGCU